ACCGCUGGUGGGAGGAGGCUCGGACAGAGCCCAGAAUCCCCCGCCCAGCUCCAGGGCCGGGCGGCCCUCACCGCCCCUACCUUCGGCUUCCCGCCCGGCAGCCGAGGGGCAGACACAACCCCCACAAUUCCAGGCGGCUCUAGUGGCAACCAGCUCCUCGUGCGUAGACGCCACGGCGACCGUCUGAACCUGUGAGCGCUCACUUAUUACGUCGCUGGCCGCCUCGCCCAAUUACUGCCUUCCAGAACGACAAGCGGCCGCCUCCCUUCCUUUCCUUUCGCGAACCUCUUAAGCCCCGCCUCUCUGCUCCGCUUCUGUUAAGUCCCGCCUUCUAGCGCAAACCUGAUCGGGCUCAGUGGAAGGAAAGGAAAACCAACACUAUCAAAGAUCUGCUUUGUGUCCAGUACUAUGUUGAAGGCUUUCACAUUACUCUUCUAAACCUUACAAGUCCAAGAUCAAACCCAACAGUGAAUGGGAGUUACAGUUGUUCCGCAUCCUCGCCUAAACUUGGUAUGGUCAGAAUUUUAACAUUCAGACAACACAUGUGCUGCUAUGUCACGAAGAUACUCAAACAGCCCCAGAAGGAGGGUGGGCGCCUGAAGUGUCCAGCGAACAGUCAUGGGAGUGAAGCAUCCUAGAAGAGAGUCCUCCAGACCCAGUCAAGGUUUCAGUUUCUAGGUGAUGCAUUUGUUCUGAAAAUGCCUGGAUGGACCAAGACCCUCUGGAACCUCUGCAGAAAAUUCAGAUGUCUGGAGAAUAUGGCUGUACCUACCUUGUCCUUCCCCAACUCUAACAAAAUAGGUGUGGACUGACCCUGGGUUUUCCAGGUUCUUCAGCAAAGGUUAGCUCCUUUCUACCUCAUCUCCCACUACCUACACCUGUGCCCUCUAACAGGCUACAAAUAUAUCCACAUGUGCUUCCCCAAA